UUCUCACCUAAUUGAAUCAAAGAGUAAGAGCUAACCUAAUGAACUAGCUUCGUUUGGUUGUCCAAGGGCACCUUUCCAUAAAUAAUGAAGUCAAGUAAGAAAUGACUAUUCCAUGGAAUUUAUGCUUAGCACCGAGUGGAUAUUGAUGAUAGGAUGGAAGCUCUCUCGUUAGUAGAGGUUGGAUUUCUAAAAGCAAUCUCAUGAGAUGGAAGCUCCCCCGUUAGUAGAGGUCGGGUUUCUA
rnacentral:lncRNA from 1 species